rnacentral:rRNA from 1 species
UACGUAGGGUGCGAGCGUUGUCCGGAAUUAUUGGGCGUAAAGGGCUCGUAGGCGGUCUGUUGCGUCGGGAGUGAAAACUCAGGGCUUAACCCUGAGCCUGCUUCCGAUACGGGCAGAUUAGAGGUAUGCAGGGGAGAACGGAAUUCAUGGUGUAGCAGUGAAAUGCGUAGAGAUCAUGAGGAAGACCAGUGGCGAAGGCGGGUCUCUGGACAGUUCCUGACGCUGAGGCACGAAGGUCAGGGGAGCAAACAGG